rnacentral:rRNA from 1 species
GAUGAACGCUGGCGGCGUGCCUAAUACAUGCAAGUCGAGCGAACAGACGAGGAGCUUGCUCCUCUCACGUUAGCCGCGCACGGGUGAGUAACACGUGGAUCCCCUACCUAUCAGACUGGGAUAACCUCGGGACACCGGCGCUAACACCGGAUAAUCUAUUGAAGCGCGUGGUUCGAUGGUGAAAGACGGUUUUGCUGUCACUUAUCGAUGGAUCUGCGCCGCAUUAGCUAGUUGGUAAGGUAACGGCUUACCAAGGCAACGAGGCGUAGCCGACCUGAGAGGGUGAUCGGCCACCCGAGAGCUUGAACGCGGACAAGGCGACUACGGGAGGCAGCAGUAGGGAAUCGUCCGCAAUAGGCGAAAGCCUGACGGAGCAACCCCGCGUGAGUGAUGAAGGUCUUGGGAGCGUAAAACUCUGUUAUGAGGGAAGAACAAAUGUGUAAGUAACUAUGCACGUCUUGACGGUACCUAGUCAGAAAGCCACGGCUAACUACGUG